UAGCAUUUACCAUGGAAAACAGAAGGCUAACGAAACCCUAAUUUGUUUAUUUUUUCGGCCGCAUCCCUUCCACUUCCUCGCUCUUCUCCAUUUUCUUGUCCAUCCUCCGUGUCUUUCUAAUGUCGUAGAUGAUAAUACCUAUAUAAUCGAAAUAUCAUCAUAGAGGUUUCAAUCUUCUUAUCUUGCCGUGGAAAAUCUUUAGUCUCUUUUGUUUGAUUUUCAUAGUAACCAUCAUGGACUUCGAUCCUGUUCUUAUAAGCUGAAGCGUCAACAUAAUUAUGAAAAUGAAAUCGGGGUUUUCUCAUAGUCCACCAGUUCGAGUCAAUUCCAGAUUGCAUAGGAGGAGUUUUUUGUUGCUGGGAUUCGGAGGAUAAUAAUGAUGGUGGUGUCCUUUGUACACUCAUGGGAGCUGGCUUCAAAGAAGAAAUUUUGUACAACCAACGCAUAUUAAAAAGCAAAUCGUAGAAACUCAUGGAGUACGUGGUGGUUUCUGAUGCAACAUUUUCAGCUCCUAAACGGAUUGGAUUAGUGUUUUUACAUCUAAUGUUUGCUGCUUUGGAAGCAUCUAUGAUUAGACGUGCCAAUACUAACCCAAUAUCAGUUGGAAAAAUAAAGACGACACUACCAGUUAUCUAUAUGUUAGGGAAUGGCUUAACAAACCCAUCGAGGUUACAAUUUUGGAGAAGAAUGCGAGUAGUCUUCUUACAAGAACAGAGCGGAAGAUGACGACAAAGAUGCGGGUGCAGAUGAAUAGUGCGAUGAAGUUGACAAAACUAAUAGGGAUGCAAGUAAAAUGGCAGAGAAUAGAGCUUGUUAUCGAAUGGAGGGAAAUGUUUAUUUUUGAACACACUAUUAUGAAAAUAAUUUUUCUUAUUUCGACAAUUUAAUGAAUGUAGGAGAAAGAUUGUGCACUUAUUGGUGAAAUAAAUUUCUGAUGGAUUAGAGAGAAGGGAACUAAUCUAUGUCCAGAAUUUUUUCAGCAAAAAAAAAGGUAGCAUGAGAAGGUUACUCUCCCAACUGUGGUGCAAGGGAUUUGUAGAGAGCGAUGUUAAGGCUUCUGGAGGAUAAUUAACUUGGCAGAUAAUGUGCUCAGUGUAUUACUGGAGAAAAUUGGAUUAAUUACGGUAUAAAAACUUCGGCUAUAUUAUUGCCUUCCAAAAAUGACUUGGAAGUUCUGUUGAGGUGGACCACGAAAAUUCAAUAAAUUCUGUCAAAAAUCGAUGGAGAACAUAUUGCAGUAUCCAUAAAAAUGAAAAUUUCAAGUAAAGUUUACAACAACA